UACGUAGGGUGCAAGCGUUAAUCGGAAUUACUGGGCGUAAAGCGUGCGCAGGCGGUUAUGUAAGACAGUUGUGAAAUCCCCGGGCUCAACCUGGGAAUUGCAUCUGUGACUGCAUAGCUAGAGUACGGUAGAGGGGGAUGGAAUUCCGCGUGUAGCAGUGAAAUGCGUAGAUAUGCGGAGGAACACCGAUGGCGAAGGCAAUCCCCUGGACCUGUACUGACGCUCAUGCACGAAAGCGUGGGGAGCAACAGG
rnacentral:rRNA from 1 species